AACGAACGCUGGCGGCAUGCCUAACACAUGCAAGUCGAACGAGAACUUCGGGUCUAGUGGCGCACGGGUGCGUAACGCGUGGGAACCUGCCCUUAGGUUCGGAAUAACUCCCCGAAAGGGGUGCUAAUAACGGAUAAUGUCUUCGGACCAAAGAUGUAUCGCCUUUGGAUGGGCCCGCGUUGGAUUAGCUAGUUGGUAGGGGAAAAGCCUACCAAGGCGACGAUCCAUAGCUGGUCUGAGAGGAUGAUCAGCCACACUGGGGCUGCGACACGGCCCAGACUCCUACGGGAGGCAGCAGUGGGGAAUAUUGGACGAUGGGCGAAAGCCUGAUCCAGCAAUGCCGCGUGAGUGAGGAAGGCCUUAGGGUUGUAAAGCUCUUUUACCCGGGAUGAUAAUGACAGUACCGGGAGAAUAAGCUCCGGCUAACUCCGUG
rnacentral:rRNA from 1 species